AACAUUGCUUCUUGAAACAAAAUAAGAAGUAAUUCCUGCCCAGUGACAUAGUUCAACGGCCGCGGUAUCCUAACCGUGCAAAGGUAGCAUAAUCACUUGCCCAUUAAUUGUGGGCUAGAAUGAAAGGACCAACGAAAUAAAGACUGUCUCUAUAAGCAAACUAAAAAUUAAUCUCUAACUGAAGAGUGUUAGAUUAUGUCGAAGGACAAGAAGACCCUAUAGAGCUUAAUUCUAAUAAAAAUACAUGUUUUAAUAAAAUUCGGUUGGGGCGACCAGGGAAUAAAAAUCAUCCCUAUUCAAAAGAUUUAUAAAUCUUUAAAAUGACCCUUAAACAAGACCAUAAAAACAAGCUACCUUAGGGGUAACAGGCUAAUCCCACUAAAGAGUUCUUAUCAAUAGUGGGGGUUGGCACCUCGAUGUUGGCUUAGGGAAUCUAUACGGCGC
rnacentral:rRNA from 1 species